UACAGGGGGGGCAAGCGUUGUUCGGAAUUACUGGGCGUAAAGGGCUCGUAGGUGGCCAACUAAGUCAGACGUGAAAUCCCUCAGCUUAACUGGGGAACUGCGUCUGAUACUGGAUGGCUUGAGUUUGGGAGAGGGAUGCGGAAUUCCAGGUGUAGCGGUGAAAUGCGUAGAUAUCUGGAGGAACACCGGUGGCGAAGGCGGCUUCCUGGACACUUACUGACGCUGAGACGCGAAAGCGUGGGGAGCAAACAGG
rnacentral:rRNA from 1 species